CAAGAUGGGGCUCCUCGUUGCGAGGCUAGAAUGCCCCCGCCCUGUGAAGAAAAUAAUAAUAAUAAUAAUUUUAUUUCUAAACAAUUCAUCCGUUAAAAAUUCAUUUUAAAUUUGUAUUUUAUUCUCUAAUAAUAAUAUAAUUCAAAACUUUGAAAAUGUAAAGAAAAUAAAAAAAAUUAAACGAGGCAAAAAGUUGCCCCGAACUUGCCUCGUUGCCAUCACUAGUCGCUGCAGGUUCGCUACCACAGUGGCACUCAGAACGCAUGCUCAGAAUCUAUUGCUGUGCACACCAGUGCUUAGUUUUACCACUGCGUCCUGUAGCCAAAGCAACGGCGAUCUGAGCCUGCUACUCCGACCCUCACAGUCGCAUCUUUUCGGUGGAAAAAAGAAGAAAAGAUAGCGAAGAGACAGAGCAUCGCUAUUGUUGGAGCAGCGAUGAUUUGAGCGUCAUUGCUCCAGUCUUUACAGAGGUGUCGUUCCAACGAAGAAAGAAA
rnacentral:lncRNA from 1 species